rnacentral:rRNA from 1 species
CGUGAUUUGGGCUAUAUUACGGACCCAAAAUUACUUUUUCAAGCAUUGUUUUCGAAUAUUUUUCAUGCAUCAAAGCUCGUUAAGACUAGAUGGGGUAUCCCUACAUGGCGGGUGGGACCCACGGCGAACGGUUCAUCAAGAAUUAAAAAAAGAAUAUAUACGAUUGCAUUGCAUAUACUAACGGAUGCGAUCAUACCAGCACUAAUGCACCGGAUCCCAUCAGAACUCCGCAGUUAAGCGUGCUUGGGCAAGAGUAGUACUAGGAUGGGUGACCUCCCGGGAAGUCCUCGUGUUGCAUCCCUUUUUUUUUUUUUUUUUUUUUGGUUAAAACUUUAUGACUCUAUAACUUCUAUACCGUGAGGCCAAACUUGGCAUGUGAUACCUUUUCGGAAAGCCCAAAGAGAGCCCUCCGACGAAAGAAGCAAGACAAUGGAUCUUUUCCAUUGACUUUGGUCGACUCCAAUUUUGACCUUUAACUACUUUUCGGGAUCA